rnacentral:rRNA from 1 species
UACGUAGGCAGCAAGCGUUGUUCGGAGUUACUGGGCGUAAAGGGUGUGUAGGCGGUUGGGUAAGUGUGGUGUGAAAUCUCCCGGCUCAACUGGGAGGGUGCGCUACAAACUGUCUGACUAGAGUGCGGGAUGGGAAAGUGGAAUUCCUGGUGUAGCGGUGAAAUGCGUAGAUAUCAGGAGGAACACCGGUGGUGUAGACGGCUUUCUGGACCGUAACUGACGCUGAGACACGAAAGCGUGGGUAGCAAACAGG